CUUAAGUUUCUCCGCCGUCAGUGAUUAUAAAUUUAGAGGUCUCAGAAAAUAAAGAAUAAUCGAAAUCAGAGUUUCAACGCCGCCCGACACAUUCUGAAAAUCUGAGAAUAUAUGUGGAUAGUGGUAGUUGGGGUAACGCUUGCUUUCAUCACGCUGCAAAUGAGAGAGAAACUGAGAUGAAAAAGCAAGUUCUCUCUUUGCAAGGUCUCUUCCACUAUGAAACCGUAAGAUUAAUUUUUAUUUUCCUAUAUUUUUUCCAUUUUGUGCUUUACAAAAAAUCCACUUUAAAUCUUUAUAUUUCAUUAAAAAUAAAUGUUUAUGUAUGAAUAUAUUACAUUAUAUGGAUCCAUACAAUUGAAUACUCAGGAAUUUUGGAGUUCUUAGAUCUGAAUCUGUUAGGGCAACCCCAAUAUGGGGAUUUAUUUUAGGGGCUAUUAAAUUGUUUAUUCAUAUAUUUUGUAGUUUGAGAUGAUUAAGAACUUUGGGUUUGUUAAUUAAAAGUUUUCCCACCAUUUA